rnacentral:rRNA from 1 species
ACAUACUGUGCGAACGUUAUUCGGAAUCACUGGGCUUAAAGGGUGCGUAGGCGGCUUGCUAAGUAGGGUGUGAAAUCCCCCAGCUCAACUGGGGAACUGCGCUCUAAACUGGCGAGCUGGAGUGAGAUAGGGGUGCAUGGAACUUCCAGUGGAGCGGUGAAAUGUGUUGAUAUUGGAAGGAACGCCGGAGGCGAAAGCGAUGCACUGGAUCUCAACUGACGCUGAGGCACGAAAGCCAGGGGAGCGAACGGGAUUAGAUACCCCGGUAGUCCUGGCCGUAAACGAUGAAUACUAGCUGGUAGCCGCGUAGGUGGUUACCAUCGGAGCGAAAGUAUUAAGUAUUCCGCCUGGGGAGUAUGGUCGCAAGGCUG